rnacentral:ribozyme from 1 species
GGAAUGCAAAUAAUCGGAAAUAUAGAGAAAAUUAAUAAUACAAUAAUCACAUUAAUAGUCUCAUAAAUCUUGUUCCUCCUCCUCUUCUUUCUCCUCUUCUUUUUCUUCUUCUUUUUC